CACGUAGGGGGCAAGCGUUGUCCGGAUUUAUUGGGCGUAAAGAGCUCGUAGGUGGUUCGGUAAGUCGGGUGUGAAACCUCCAGGCUCAACCUGGAGACGCCACCCGAUACUGCUGUGACUGGAGUCCGGUAGGGGAGCGUGGAAUUCCUGGUGUAGCGGUGAAAUGCGCAGAUAUCAGGAGGAACACCAGCGGCGAAGGCGGCGCUCUGGGCCGGUACUGACACUGAGAAACGAAAGCCAGGGUAGCAAACGGG
rnacentral:rRNA from 1 species